rnacentral:rRNA from 1 species
UACGAAGGGGGCUAGCGUUGUUCGGAAUUACUGGGCGUAAAGCGCGUGUAGGCGGGUCUUUAAGUCAGGGGUGAAAUGCCAGGGCUCAACCUUGGAACUGCCUUUGAUACUGGAGACCUUGAGUCCGGGAGAGGUGAAUGGAAUUGCGAGUGUAGAGGUGAAAUUCGUAGAUAUUCGCAAGAACACCCGUGGCGAAGGCGGCUCUCUGGGACGGUACUGACGCUGAGACGCGAAAGCGUGGGGAGCGAACAGG